GUGGUCCUAAGUAAUUUUUCUAAUAAAUCGUUUGAGACACAUGUCAUGGUUAAUUAAUAUUCAAACACUUGACAAAACAUCCUUAUCAUUUAUUUAGUUAUGCUUAUUUUCAAAGUUAACAUUCAUUUUAUUUUGGUGGGUACAUAUUUUCAUUGAAAUCAAUAAGACCUAUUCAUACUUAUAUAUGCAAGUUUGUAGGCCAUUACUGAAGUUCAUACAUAUUCCUGUAAAAUGUUGAAUAAAAAAU
rnacentral:lncRNA from 1 species